UACGUAGGGUGCAAGCGUUAAUCGGAAUUACUGGGCGUAAAGCGUGCGCAGGCGGUUUUGUAAGUCUGUCGUGAAAUCCCCGGGCUCAACCUGGGAAUUGCGAUGGAGACUGCAAGGCUGGAGUCUGGCAGAGGGGGGUAGAAUUCCACGUGUAGCAGUGAAAUGCGUAGAGAUGUGGAGGAACACCGAUGGCGAAGGCAGCCCCCUGGGAUAAUACUGACGCUCAUGCACGAAAGCGUGGGGAGCAAACAGG
rnacentral:rRNA from 1 species